rnacentral:lncRNA from 1 species
CGGCGUUCAGACACAGCGAUAAGUCACAGCAACUAGUUGCGAUGGAGUUGCUGUGAUUUGUUGAUGAUUGAAACGCUGUUUAGACGCUGCGAUAAGUUGACCACAACAAGUUGAAGAGGGGACCAUUGUAUCCUGUUACUUUCAAAAUAUAAAGGUUGGGUAUGUUAUACAGGGUAUUUACAAAGUUAUAACCAAUUUUAUAUGAAAAUCGUAACAAGUUCAACUCACUGUAUAAAUAAAAAUAAGCACAACGGCAAUGGUUUAUUGAUGCCAUAUUUUAUUUAUUGUCAAAAUUUUUAAAAAUGAUUGAUAUUGCUAAUUUACUUUAUAUCUAAUAAAGGGUGAGUUAAAACUCAAGUAGGUAGGUACAUUAUUUUUUCAGUAAAAUUUAAAUGGGAUACCCUGUAUUUUAUAUCACUAUUAAAAAGUACCAUUACCGUACUUUAAUUUGUAUACAACAUUCCCUAUUCGUCUGUCUACGCAAAAGAAAAA